rnacentral:rRNA from 1 species
UACGAAGGGGGCUAGCGUUGCUCGGAAUUACUGGGCGUAAAGGGCGCGUAGGCGGAUAUUUAAGUUAGAGGUGAAAGCCCAGGGCUCAACCCUGGAAUAGCCUUUAAUACUGGAUAUCUUGAGUUCGGGAGAGGUGAGUGGAAUUCCCAGUGUAGAGGUGAAAUUCGUAGAUAUUGGGAGGAACACCGGUGGCGAAGGCGGCUCUCUGGACCGAUACUGACGCUGAGGCGCGAAAGCGUGGGGAGCAAACAGG